rnacentral:rRNA from 1 species
UCCAGGAAAAGCCUCUAAGCAUCAGGUAACAUCAAAUCGUACCCCAAACCGACACAGGUGGUCAGGUAGAGAAUACCAAGGCGCUUGAGAGAACUCGGGUGAAGGAACUAGGCAAAAUGGUGCCGUAACUUCGGGAGAAGGCACGCUGAUAUGUAGGUGAAGUCCCUCGCGGAUGGAGCUGAAAUCAGUCGAAGAUACCAGCUGGCUGCAACUGUUUAUUAAAAACACAGCACUGUGCAAACACGAAAGUGGACGUAUACGGUGUGACGCCUGCCCGGUGCCGGAAGGUUAAUUGAUGGGGUCAGCGCAAGCGAAGCUCUUGAUCGAAGCCCCGGUAAACGGCGGCCGUAACUAUAACGGUCCUAAGGUAGCGAAAUUCCUUGUCGGGUAAGUUCCGACCUGCACGAAUGGCGUAAUGAUGGCCAGGCUGUCUCCACCCGAGACUCAGUGAAAUUGAACUCGCUGUGAAGAUGCAGUGUACCCGCGGCAAGACGGAAAGACCCCGUGAACCUUUACUAUAGCUUGACACUGAACAUUGAGCCUUGAUGUGUAGGAUAGGUGGGAGGCUUAGAAGUGUGGACGCCAGUCUGCAUGGAGCCGACCUUGAAAUACCACCCUUUAAUGUUUGAUGUUCUAACGUUGACCCGUAAUCCGGGUUGCGGACAGUGUCUGGUGGGUAGUUUGACUGGGGCGGUCUCCUCCUAAAGAGUAACGGAGGAGCACGAAGGUUGGCUAAUCCUGGUCGGACAUCAGGAGGUUAGUGCAAUGGCAUAAGCCAGCUUGACUGCGAGCGUGACGGCGCGAGCAGGUGCGAAAGCAGGUCAUAGUGAUCCGGUGGUUCUGAAUGGAAGGGCCAUCGCUCAACGGAUAAAAGGUACUCCGGGGAUAACAGGCUGAUACCGCCCAAGAGUUCAUAUCGACGGCGGUGUUUGGCACCUCGAUGUCGGCUCAUCACAUCCUGGGGCUGAAGUAGGUCCCAAGGGUAUGGCUGUUCGCCAUUUAAAGUGGUACGCGAGCUGGGUUUAGAACGUCGUGAGACAGUUCGGUCCCUAUCUGCCGUGGGCGCUGGAGAACUGAGGGGGGCUGCUCCUAGUACGAGAGGACCGGAGUGGACGCAUCACUGGUGUUCGGGUUGUCAUGCCAAUGGCACUGCCCGGUAGCUAAAUGCGGAAGAGAUAAGUGCUGAAAGCAUCUAAGCACGAAACUUGCC